rnacentral:rRNA from 1 species
GACGUAGGGGGCCAGCGUUGUUCGGAAUUACUGGGUGUAAAGGGUUCGUAGGCGGUGUGGCAAGUCGGGAGUGAAAUCUAUGGGCUUAACACAUAGGCUGCUUCCGAAACUGCCGUGCUUGAGUGUGGGAGAGGCGCGUGGAAUUGCAGGUGUAGCGGUGAAAUGCGUAGAUAUCUGCAGGAACACCCGUGGCGAAGGCGGCGCGCUGGACCACUACUGACGCUGAGGAACGAAAGCUAGGGGAG